CCUACGGGAGGCAGCAGUGGGGAAUAUUGCGCAAUGGGCGAAAGCCUGACGCAGCGACGCCGCGUGAGGGAUGAAGGUCUUCGGAUCGUAAACCUCUGUCAGCAGGGAAGAACGGUCACUGUGCUAAUCAGCAGUGAAUUGACGGUACCUGCAAAGGAAGCACCGGCUAACUCCGUGCCAGCAGCCGCGGUAAUACGGAGGGUGCGAGCGUUAAUCGGAAUUACUGGGCGUAAAGCGCUCGUAGGCGGUAUGUCAAGUCAAGGGUGAAAUCCCCGGGCUCAACGUGGGAACUGCCUUUGAAACUGGCAAACUGGAGUGUGUGAGAGGAUAGUGGAAUGCCAGGUGUAGGAGUGAAAUGCGUAGAUAUCUGGAGGAACAUCAGUGGCGAAGGCGACUAUCUGGCACAUAACUGACGCUGAGGAGCGAAAGCGUGGGUAGCAAACAGGAUUAGAUACCCCAGUAGUC
rnacentral:rRNA from 1 species